UGGAGACAUAAGGACCCUGCUGGGAUCCUGCUCCCCCCAAAAGUAGGGGGACUAAGACCCCCCAAGACCCUGGACAAGUACAUCGCUGAUAACAGGGAUGGCCAACAAGCAGCCUGUUGACUCAAUCCAGCUUCCAAGGCAAUAUCAUCUGACCUGGGAUAGCUCUACUAAAUUUUAAUCAAGGGGGCACGAGGAAGUGGAGAGCCAGACUGUGACGGAGGGCAAGGAUGAAGUAGGAGAAGGCAGCAGUAGAAUGGAGGUGAAGAGCUGAGGUUUCUCCAUCCCUGCUCUACUGCCUGCUCUGCCUGUGUGCGGCUGUCACCAGACAAUCCUUCCAACCAAUCACUCCUACUUGGGCCUUCACUUCAGCGUUCGCCUGAAGACCUGAACAAUGAAAACUAAGCAGUCUUCUGCCCUUAGCCAUUUUUCCCCAAGAACAGAAAUUUCAUUUUAAGAAACCCUUAGCCCUCUAUAGGUCUGUCAGCAUGAUCAAUCUCUUAUUUUUUUGUGCAAUAAAUAUGUAGCUAGGAUCUCCACCUGAAAAGAAACCUAAAAAUACACAGAGCUGCAUCUGUACAUAUCUAUCCCUCUUACCUGUGCUUCACCCUCCCCUUCCAUUUGCUGUCUCCCCACCUAACACCUGCAACAUAUACAUUUACAGUGUAAGCUCCUCAGGGCAGGGAUCUGCCAUUUGUGCUUCUUUUACUCGGCCAAGGGCUGCC